CCAGCUCCAAUAGCGUAUAUUUAAGUUGCUGCAGUUAAAAAGCUCGUAGUUGGAUUUCGGGUGGGGCCUGCCGGUCCGCCGUUUCGGUGUGCACUGGCAGGGCCCACCUUGCUGUCGGGGACGGGCUCCUGGGCUUCACUGUCUGGGACUCGGAGUCGACGUUGUUACUUUGAGUAAAUUAGAGUGUUCAAAGCAGGCAUACGCUCUGAAUACAUUAGCAUGGAAUAACAUGAUAGGACUCUGGCCUAUCCUGUUGGUCUGUAGGACCGGAGUAAUGAUUAAGAGGGACAGUCGGGGGCAUUCGUAUUUCAUUGUCAGAGGUGAAAUUCUUGGAUUUAUGAAAGACGAACUACUGCGAAAGCAUUUGCCAAGGAUGUUUUCA
rnacentral:rRNA from 1 species